rnacentral:tRNA from 1 species
UCACUGAUAGCUGAGUUGGUAAAGAAUCUGCCUGUAAUGCAGGAGACCUGGGUUCAAUUCCUGGGUUGGGAA